rnacentral:rRNA from 1 species
GACGAACGAGGGGCGUGCCUAAUACAUGCAAGUAGGACGCACAGUUUAUACCCGUAGCUUGCUACACCAUAGACAUGAGUUGCGAACGGGUGAGUAACGCGUAGGUAACCUACCUAUUAGAGGGGGAUAACUAUUGGAAACGAUAGCUAAUACCGCAUAACAGUAUGUAACACAUGUUAGAUGCUUGAAAGAUGCAAUUGCAUCGCUAGUAGAUGGACCUGCGUUGUAUUAGCUAGUAGGUAGGGUAAAGGCCUACCUAGGCAACGAUACAUAGCCGACCUGAGAGGGUGAUCGGCCACACUGGGACUGAGACACGGCCCAGACUCCUACGGGAGGCAGCAGUAGGGAAUCUUCGGCAAUGGGGGGAACCCUGACCGAGCAACGCCGCGUGAGUGAAGAAGGUUUUCGGAUCGUAAAGCUCUGUUGUUAAGGAAGAACGAGUGUGAGAAUGGAAAGUUCAUGCUGUGACGGUACUUAACCAGAAAGGGACGGCUAACUACGUGCCAGCAGCCGCGGUAAUACGUAGGUCCCGAGCGUUGUCCGGAUUUAUUGGGCGUAAAGCGAGCGCAGGCGGUUAGAAAAGUCUGAAGUGAAAGGCAGUGGCUCAACCAUUGUAGGCUUUGGAAACUGUUUAACUUGAGUGCAGAAGGGGAGAGUGGAAUUCCAUGUGUAGCGGUGAAAUGCGUAGAUAUAUGGAAGAACACCGGUGGCGAAAGCGGCUCUCUGGUCUGUAACUGACGCUGAGGCUCGAAAGCGUGGGGAGCGAACAGG